GCCAGGUCAGGAUGGUAGAGACAACGUUAGACCAAGAGCCUUCUAAGCGCUUGGCCGCAGGUUCGAGUCCUGCCGGGGGCGCCA
rnacentral:tRNA from 1 species